rnacentral:rRNA from 1 species
GAUGAACGCUGGCGGCGUGCCUAAUACAUGCAAGUCGAGCGAACAGACGAGGAGCUUGUUCCUCUGACGGUAGCGGCGGACGGGUGAGUAACACGUGGAUAACAUACCUAUAAGACUGGGAUAACUUCGGGAAACCGGAGCUAAUACCAGGGAAUAUAUUGAACCUCUUGGUUCAAUAGUGAAAGACGGUUUUUGUGUCAGUUAUAGAUGGAUUCGCGCCCCAUUAGCUAGUUGGUAAGGUAACGGCUUACCAAGGCAACGAUGGGUAGCCGACCUGAGAGGGUGGUCGGCCACACUGGAACUGAGAGAGGGUCCGGACUCCUACGGGAGGCAGCAGUAGGGAAUCUUCCGCAAUGGGCGGAAGCAUGACGGAGCAACGCCGCGUGAGUGAUGAAGGUCUUCGGAUCGUAAGACUCUGUUAUUAGGGAAGAACAAAUGUGUAAGUAACUAGGCACGUCUUGACGGUACCUAGUCAGAAAGGCACGGCUAACUUCGUG